CCUACGGGUGGCAGCAGUGGGGAAUAUUGGGCACUGGGCGCAAGCCUGACCCAGCAACGCCGCGUGAAGGAAGAAGGCUUUCGGGUUGUAAACUUCUUUUAAGAGGGAAGAGCAAAAGACGGUACCUCUUGAAUAAGCCACGGCUAACUACGUGCCAGCAGCCGCGGUCAUACGUAGGUGGCAAGCGUUGUCCGGAUUUCCUGGGUGUAAAGGGCGUGCAGCCGGGAAGACAAGUCAGAUGUGAAAUCCCGCGGCUCAACCGCGGAACUGCAUUUGGAACUGUUUUUCUUGAGUACCGGAGAGGUCAUCGGAAUUCCUUGUGUAGCGGUGAAUUGGGUAGGUAUACGGAGGAACACCAGUGGCGAAGGCGGAUUGCUGGACAGUAACUGACGCUGAGGCGCGAAAGCGUGGGAGCAAACAGGAUUAGAUACCCUUGUAGUC
rnacentral:rRNA from 1 species